rnacentral:tRNA from 15 species
GCAUCUAUAGCUCAGCUGGAUAGAGCGUUGGACUUCGAAUCCACAGGUCGCGAGUUCGAAUCUUGCUAGGUGCACCA